rnacentral:rRNA from 1 species
GACGAACGCUGGCGGCGUGCCUAAUACAUGCAAGUAGAACGCUGAAGAGAGGAGCUUGCUCUUCUUGGAUGAGUUGCGAACGGGUGAGUAACGCGUAGGUAACCUGCCUUGUAGCGGGGGAUAACUAUUGGAAACGAUAGCUAAUACCGCAUAACAAUGGAUGACACAUGUCAUUUAUUUGAAAGGGGCAAUUGCUCCACUACAAGAUGGACCUGCGUUGUAUUAGCUAGUAGGUGAGGUAACGGCUCACCUAGGCGACGAUACAUAGCCGACCUGAGAGGGUGAUCGGCCACACUGGGACUGAGACACGGCCCAGACUCCUACGGGAGGCACAGUAGGGAAUCUUCGGCAAUGGGGGCAACCCUGACCGAGCAACGCCGCGUGAGUGAAGAAGGUUUUCGGAUCGUAAAGCUCUGUUGUAAGUCAAGAACGAGUGUGAGAG